rnacentral:rRNA from 1 species
GUAAAGCUCUUUCGCCCGUGACGAUGAUGACGGUAACGGGAGAAGAAGCCCCGGCUAAUUCCGUGCCAGCAGCCGCGGUAAUACGGAAGGGGCUAGCGUUGUUCGGAUUUACUGGGCGUAAAGCGCAUGUAGGCGGCGGAUCAAGUGGGGCGUGAAAGGCCUGGGCUCAACCUGGGAACUGCGCUUCAGACUGGUUCGCUCGAGUUCGGGAGAGGGUGGUGGAAUUCCCAGUGUAGAGGUGAAAUUCGUAGAUAUUGGGAGGAACACCGGUGGCGAAGGCGGCCACCUGGCCCGAGACUGACGCCCAAGUGCGAAAGCGUGGGGAGCAAACAGGAUUAGAUACCCUGGUAGUCCACGCUGUAAACGAUGGGUGCUAGAUGUCGGGGGGCUUGCUCUUCGGUGUCGCAGCUAACGCGUUAAGCACCCCGCCUGGGGAGUACGGCCGCAAGGUUAAAACUCAAAUGAAUUGACGGA